rnacentral:rRNA from 1 species
GAUGAACGCUAGCGGCAGGCCUAACACAUGCAAGUCGAGGGGUAACAGGGAAAAGCUUGCUUUUCUGCUGACGACCGGCGCACGGGUGCGUAACGCGUAUACAAUCUGCCUUUAAGCGGGGAAUAGCCCAUGGAAACGUGGAUUAAUACCCCAUAGUAUGUAGACCUCUCCUGAGGACUACAUUAAACAUUUAUGGCUUAAAGAUGAGUAUGCGUCCUAUUAGUUAGUUGGUAAGGUAACGGCUUACCAAGACGGCGAUAGGUAGGGGUCCUGAGAGGGAGAUCCCCCACACUGGUACUGAGACACGGACCAGACUCCUACGGGAGGCAGCAGUGAGGAAUAUUGGACAAUGGAGGCAACUCUGAUCCAGCCAUGCCGCGUGCAGGAAGACGGCCCUAUGGGUUGUAAACUGCUUUUACAGAGGAAGAAACCUCUCCACGUGUGGAGAGCUGACGGUACUCUGCGAAUAAGGACCGGCUAACUCCGUGCCAGCAGCCGCGGUAAUACGGAGGGUCCAAGCGUUAUCCGGAAUCAUUGGGUUUAAAGGGUCCGUAGGCGGAAUAAUAAGUCAGUGGUGAAAGUCUGCAGCUUAACUGUAGAAUUGCCAUUGAUACUGUUGUUCUUGAAUUAUUAUGAAGUGGUUGGAAUGAGUAGUGUAGCGGUGAAAUGCAUAGAUAUUACUCAGAACACCUAUUGCGAAGGCAGAUCACUAAUAAUAUAUUGACGCUGAGGGACGAAAGCGUAGGUAGCGAACAGGAUUAGAUACCCUGGUAGUCUACGCCGUAAACGAUGGUUACUAGCUGUCCGGCCUAAUUGAGGGCUGGGUGGUUAAGCGAAAGUGAUAAGUAACCCACCUGGGGAGUACGUUCGCAAGAAUGAAACUCAAAGGAAUUGACGGGGGCCCGCACAAGCGGUGGAGCAUGUGGUUUAAUUCGAUGAUACGCGAGGAACCUUACCAGGGCUUAAAUGCAGUCUGACAGGUCUGGAAACAGACUUUUCUUCGGACAGAUUGCAAGGUGCUGCAUGGUUGUCGUCAGCUCGUGCCGUGAGGUGUCAGGUUAAGUCCUAUAACGAGCGCAACCCCUGUGGUUAGUUGCCAGCGAGUCAUGUCGGGAACUCUAGCCAGACUGCCGGUGCAAACCGCGAGGAAGGUGGGGAUGACGUCAAAUCAUCACGGCCCUUACGUCCUGGGCCACACACGUGCUACAAUGGUAGGGACAGAGGGCAGCUACCCCGCGAGGGGAUGCGAAUCUUCAAACCCUAUCACAGUUCGGAUCGCAGUCUGCAACUCGACUGCGUGAAGCUGGAAUCGCUAGUAAUCGCAUAUCAGCCAUGAUGCGGUGAAAACGUUCCCGGGCCCUUGUACACACCGCCCGUCAAGCCAUGGAAAGCCCGGGGGUACCUGAAGUCCCGUCACCGUAAAGGAGCGG